rnacentral:rRNA from 1 species
GAUGAACGCUGGCGGCGUGCCUAAUACAUGCAAGUCGAGCGAACGGACGAGAAGCUUGCUUUUCUGAUGUUAGCGGCGGACGGGUGAGUAACACGUGGAUAACCUACCUAUAAGACUGGGAUAACUUCGGGAAACCGGAUCUAAUACCGGAUAAUAUUUUGAACCGCAUGGUUCAAAGGUGAAAGACGGUCUUGCUGUCACUUAUAGAUGGAUCCGCGCUGCAUUAGCUAGUUGGUAAGGUAACGGCUUACCAAGGCAACGAUGCAUAGCCGACCUGAGAGGGUGAUCGGCCACACUGGAACUGAGACACGGUCCAGACUCCUACGGGAGGCAGCAGUAGGGAAUCUUCCGCAAUGGGCGAAAGCCUGACGGAGCAACGCCGCGUGAGUGAUGAAGGUCUUCGGAUCGUAAAACUCUGUUAUUAGGGAAGAACAUAUGUGUAAGUAACUGUGCACAUCUUGACGGUACCUAAUCAGAAAGCCACGGCUAACUACGUG